GCGGGUAUGGUGGAAUAGGCAGACACAAGAGACUUAAAAUCUCUCGGGAGCGAUCCCGUGCCGGUUCAAGUCCGGCUACCCGCA
rnacentral:tRNA from 1 species